AGCCGGAGCCCGAGUGAGCGCGGGCUUGAGACCUGCUGAGCAGCGGGACCUGGCGGCUGGCGUUCUGGUGUGGGGCCGAGAACAGACCCUUCUUCUGAAAAGCCACUGGCCCCUUGUUCUAUGAAAGCCCCCAGCUAUCAAUACAUUACAGCAGGAUGAGAAAGACCCAGGCCUUUGACAUCCCAGGCUUUGACAGGCCCAGGCUUGACAGUGUCUUGGCACAAUGUUGUGGGAAGAAUAAGCACAAUGAAGAGGUGCCUCAGGAAGAGGACACACUCAGCCACCCACCUCAUGGGACUGCUAUGAGAAUGACUGAAAUAAUUAAUUGUGAAGAGCUUUGUGCCCCUGGGAGUAAGAACACUAUGACACAACUGGAGAAACUGGUUAUUUUACCAAGGCUUAGGCUGGAAUGGUGUGCUUUCCUUUAAAGAAUCAAACUUGACUUAUGGAGCCAAUAAAAGCCUCUUGGGAAAA
rnacentral:lncRNA from 1 species